GACGAACGCUGGCGGCGUGCUUAACACAUGCAAGUCGAACGAUGAACCCGGAGCUUGCUCUGGGGGAUUAGUGGCGAACGGGUGAGUAACACGUGAGUAACCUGCCCUGGACUCUGGGAUAAGCGUUGGAAACGACGUCUAAUACCGGAUAGGACCUUGGAUCGCAUGAUCUGGGGUGGAAAGUUUUUUCGGUCUGGGAUGGACUCGCGGCCUACCAGCUUGUUUGUGAGGUAAUGGCUCACCAAGGCGUCGACGGGUAGCCGGCCUGUGAGGGUGACCGGCCACACUGGGACUGAGACACGGCCCAGACUCCUACGGGAGGCAGCAGUGGGGAAUAUUGCACAAUGGGCGAAAGCCUGAUGCAGCAACGCAGCGUGCGGGAUGACGGCCUUCGGGUUGUAAACCGCUUUUAGUAGGGAAGAAGGGCUUCGGCUUGACGGUACCUGCAGAAAAAGGACCGGCUAACUACGUG
rnacentral:rRNA from 1 species